rnacentral:rRNA from 1 species
UACGGAGGGCGCAAGAGUUGUUCGGAAUCACUGGGCGUAAAGCGCGGGUAGGCGGCUUGGUAAGUCGGGUGUGAAAGCCCGGGGCCUAACCACGGAACUGCACUCGAAACUGCCUCGCUCGAGUCCCUGAGAGGAUGGUGGAAUUCCCGGUGUAGUUGUGAAAUACGUAGAUAUCGGUAGGAACACCAGCGGCGAAGGAGGCCAUCUGGACGGUGACUGACGCUGAGACGCGAAACCGUAUGGAACAAACAUG